rnacentral:rRNA from 1 species
UACGGGGGGGGCAAGCGUUGUUCGGAAUUACUGGGCGUAAAGGGCUGUAGGCGGCCAACUAAGUCGGAUGUGAAAUCCCCAGGCUUAACCUGGGAACUGCAUCCGAUACUGGAUGGCUUGAAUCCGGGAGAGGGAUGCAGAAUUCCAGGUGUAGCGGUGAAAUGCGUAGAUAUCUGGAGGAAUACCGGUGGCGAAGGCGGCAUCCUGGACCGGCAUUGACGCUGAGGGAGCGAAAAGCCAGGGGAGCAAAC